rnacentral:rRNA from 1 species
CCUACGGGAGGCAGCAGUGAGGAAUAUUGGUCAAUGGACGCAAGUCUGAACCAGCCAUGCCGCGUGCAGGAAGACGGCUCUAUGAGUUGUAAACUGCUUUUGUACGAGGGUAAACGCAGAUACGUGUAUCUGUCUGAAAGCAUCGUACGAAUAAGGAUCGGCUAACUCCGUGCCAGCAGCGGCGGUAAUACGGAGGAUUCAAGCGUUAUCCGGAUUUAUUGGGUUGAAAGGGUGCGUAGGCGGUCGGAUAAGUUAGAGGUGAAAUCCCGAGGCUCAACUUCGGUAUUGCCUCGGAUACUGUACGGCUAGAGAGUAGUUGCGGUAGGCGGAAUGUAUGGUGUAGCGGUGAAAUGCUUAGAGAUCAUACAGAACACCGAUUGCGAAGGCAGCUUACCAAGCUACUUCUGACGUUGAGGCACGAAAGCGUGGGGAGCAAACAGGAUUAGAUACCCGGGUAGUC